AACGAACGCUGGCGGCGUGCCUAACACAUGCAAGUCGAGCGCGAAUGGGAGCAAUCCUAGUAGCGCGGCGCACGGGUGCGUAACACGUGGGUAAUCUGCCUGGGAGACCGGAAUAACCUGCCGAAAGGCUGGCUAAUACCGGAUAAGCCCACGGACUCUUCGGAGUCUGAGGGAAAAGGUGGCCUCUGUAUACAAGCUAUCACUUCCAGAUGAGCCCGCGGCCCAUCAGCUCGUUGGCGGGGUAAAGGCCACCAAGGCAACGACGGGUAGCUGGUCUGAGAGGACGAUCAGCCACACU
rnacentral:rRNA from 1 species